rnacentral:ribozyme from 12 species
GAAGAAAAAAAUCCAUGGAGUAAAUCGGAAGCAGUGUCGAUACAUCGUUGGACAUUAUCUGCUAAAAACUCAAUAUCUUCUUCUUCUUCUUCUUUUUUUACUUGUUCAUCCUCAUUUUCG